CAAGCUUAGGAACAAAAUGACUGUUAAAUCCUUAAACUCAAUAUUAAAUAUAAGAUAUGGAUUGCGCCGUCAUGGCAUAUGUUGCCACAACUACCAAUUACCGGAGAAAUAUUUAAAUUUAAUACGUUCCAGCGAUAAAUAUACCGAUUCGAGUAAUAGCGAGUUGGAUAAAAUAAUAACACAAUUAGAAAUGUG